GACCCCGCUGAAAGGGCCCGUAAAUGAUCGGGGAGUCGGCGAUGCUCUGUGGCGAGAAAAGCUGUGUGAAUUACUUAGGCGCCCGUACCGCAAACCGACACAGGUAGAUGAGGAGAGAAUCCUAAGGCCAACGGGAGAAGGGUUGUUAAGGAACUCGGCAAAUUGACCCCGUAACUUCGGGAUAAGGGGAGCCGGCCACGGCCGGCCGCAGUGAAUAGGCCCAAGCAACUGUUUACCAAAAACACAGGUCUCUGCUAAAUCGAAAGAUGACGUAUAGGGGCUGACGCCUGCCCGGUGCCGGAAGGUUAAGAGGAGAGCUUAGCGCAAGCGAAGGUUUGAAUUGAAGCCCCGGUAAACGGCGGCCGUAACAAUAACGGUCCUAAGGUAGCGAAAUUCCUUGUCAGGUAAGUUCUGACCCGCACGAAUGGCGUAAUGAUUUGGGCACUGUCUCAACAGCCCGCCCGGCGAAAUUGUAGUACUGGUGAAGAUGCCAGUUACCCGCAACUAGACGGAAAGACCCCAUGGAGCUUUACUGUAGCUUAAUACUGAAGAUCGGUAAUGCAUGUACAGGAUAGGUGGGAGCCUAUGAAACCGGGCCGUCAGGUUCGGCGGAGGCAACCUUGGAAUACCACCCUUGUAUUGCUGGUUUUCUAACCUGCGGCCGUGAAUCCGGUCGGGGGACACUGUUAGGCGGGCAGUUUGACUGGGGCGGUCGCCUCCAAAAGAGUAACGGAGGCGCUCAAAGGUUGGCUCAGCACGGACGGAAAUCGUGCACAGAGUGCAAACGCAUAAGCCAACUUGACUGCGAGACCGACGGGUCGAGCAGGUACGAAAGUAGGAGUUAGUGACCCGGUGGUAUGAGAGUGGAAAUGCCAUCGCUCAACGGAUAAAAGCUACCCUGGGAUAACAGGCCGAUCUCCCCCAAGCGUCCACAGCGACGGGGAGGUUUGGCACCUCGAUGUCGGCUCGUCACAUCCUGGGGCUGAAUUCGGUCCCAAGGGUUCGGCUGUUCGCCGAUUAAAGUGGCACGCGAGCUGGGUUCAGAACGUCGUGAGACAGUUCGGUCCCUAUCUGUUGCGGGCGCAGGAGAUUUGAAGGGAGCUGUCCUUAGUACGAGAGGACUGGGAUGGACUGACCUCUGGUGCACCAGUUGUCGUGCCAACGGCACAGCUGGGUAGCUAUGUCGGGACGAGAUAAACGCUGAAGGCAUCUAAGCGUGAAACUCCCCCUAAGAUAAGAUCUCCCAUCCUUUAUGGAGUAAGGGUCCAUGUAGACUACAUGGUUGAUAGGCCGGCGGUGUAAGCGCAGUAAUGUGUUCAGCCUACCGGUACUAAUAGCCCGAGGGCUUGACC
rnacentral:rRNA from 1 species